rnacentral:rRNA from 1 species
UGCGUAGGUGGCAAGCGUUGUCCGGAUUUACUGGGCGUAAAGAGCGCGCAGGCGGUCGUUCAAGUCGCGUGUGAAAGCCCCCGGCUCAACUGGGGAGGGUCACGCGAUACUGAUCGACUCGAAGGCAGGAGAGGGAAGUGGAAUUCCCGGUGUAGUGGUGAAAUGCGUAGAUAUCGGGAGGAACACCAGUGGCGAAGGCGACUUCCUGGCCUGUUCUUGACGCUGAGGCGCGAAAGCUAGGGGAGCAAACGG